rnacentral:rRNA from 1 species
GACGAACGCUGGCGGCGUGCUUAACACAUGCAAGUCGAACGGAAAGGCCCUGCUUUUGUGGGGUGCUCGAGUGGCGAACGGGUGAGUAACACGUGAGUAACCUGCCCUUGACUUUGGGAUAACUUCAGGAAACUGGGGCUAAUACCGGAUAGGAGCUCCUGCUGCAUGGUGGGGGUUGGAAAGUUUCGGCGGUUGGGGAUGGACUCGCGGCUUAUCAGCUUGUUGGUGGGGUAGUGGCUUACCAAGGCUUUGACGGGUAGCCGGCCUGGGAGGGUGACCGGCCACAUUGGGACUGGGAUACGGCCCAGACUGCUACGGGGGGCAGCAGUGGGAAACAUUGCACAAUGGGCGGAAGCCUGAUGCAGCAACGCCGCGUGCGGGAUGACGGCCUUCGGGUUGUAAACCGCUUUCGCCUGUGACGAAGCGUGAGUGACGGUAAUGGGUAAAGAAGCACCGGCUAACUACGUG